AUCUUCAAAAUACAAAUCAUUUACUGCAAUCAUAGCAUUUCCAUGAAACAAUAUCUUUUUUGGCACAUUCCAUCAAACACUUGGCAUAAAAUUCAACCAUAUAUUAUAGUAUAUAUAACAAAUAUAAAUUUCAACAUCAACACCAAAGCUCCUGCAUUUUUAAAUGUUAAAAAUUGAACACUUGGCAUGCAACAUUGAGUCGAUGUAGAGACAAGUUAACUUGCCUAGUAAAGUAAAUAGAUUUUAGUUGCUGUCAGUGUUGGCGAAACAUAAAAGGAAAAAACUUCUCGAUUCUUCUGGAAUUGAAGGCUCAUUUUAGGGGUGACGCUCCCAAAAGGAUUUUCUCCAUAUCCAGAAUUUAUAUCCGUGACCUCUGAUUAAGGGUGAAGUAAUCCCACCACAACCCACGUUGGUUGCUGCUAAGAAAGCUAAAAGGGCCUCCCGUUGACCAGAACUUCAGGAAGCAUAAUAGAGUAGCGGAUGUCCUAGCAAAGAAAGGGGCCAGACGGCUUUUUGGGAAGAAUGUGGAAUUUUUGUAGCCCAUGCUACAUGGGAUGAUAUAGAUAGAAAAGGAUAUUGUAGGACAAUAUCUAUACUUCAAAUAAACGGGCAUAGCCCAUCUAUCUUUGUACUGGAGACGGAUUGAGCUCGAUCUAUGUCUUAACUUAACUUUUAUUAAUGCAUUUCUGCUUUACCUAAAAUUAAAAAAAAAAAAGAAAAAGGAUAGGAUUACCUAUACAUUAUCCCCCGAAUAUACUCUUAUUUUUAGAAUUACAUCAAUAUAUAUAUUAUUA